UCGGGGCAGGGUGAGUCGACCCCUAAGGCGAGGCCGAAAGGCGUAGUCGAUGGGAAACGGGUUAAUAUUCCCGUACUUGGUGUUACUGCGAAGGGGGGACGGAGAAGGCUAUGUUGGCCGGGCGACGGUUGUCCCGGUUUAAGCGUGUAGGUGUGUGUUCCAGGUAAAUCCGGUUCACUUUAACACUGAGGCGUGACGACGAGGCACUACGGUGCUGAAGCAACAAAUGCCCUGCUUCCAGGAAAAGCCUCUAAGCAUCAGGUAACACGAAAUCGUACCCCAAACCGACACAGGUGGUCAGGUAGAGAAUACCAAGGCGCUUGAGAGAACUCGGGUGAAGGAACUAGGCAAAAUGGUGCCGUAACUUCGGGAGAAGGCACGCUGACACGUAGGUGAAGUGAUUUACUCAUGGAGCUGAAGUCAGUCGAAGAUACCAGCUGGCUGCAACUGUUUAUUAAAAACACAGCACUGUGCAAACACGAAAGUGGACGUAUACGGUGUGACGCCUGCCCGGUGCCGGAAGGUUAAUUGAUGGGGUCAGCGUAAGCGAAGCUCCUGAUCGAAGCCCCGGUAAACGGCGGCCGUAACUAUAACGGUCCUAAGGUAGCGAAAUUCCUUGUCGGGUAAGUUCCGACCUGCACGAAUGGCGUAAUGAUGGCCAGGCUGUCUCCACCCGAGACUCAGUGAAAUUGAACUCGCUGUGAAGAUGCAGUGUACCCGCGGCAAGACGGAAAGACCCCGUGAACCUUUACUAUAGCUUGACACUGAACAUUGAGCCUUGAUGUGUAGGAUAGGUGGGAGGCUUUGAAGUGUGGACGCCAGUCUGCAUGGAGCCGACCUUGAAAUACCACCCUUUAAUGUUUGAUGUUCUAACGUGGACCCGUAAUCCGGGUUGCGGACAGUGUCUGGUGGGUAGUUUGACUGGGGCGGUCUCCUCCUAAAGAGUAACGGAGGAGCACGAAGGUUGGCUAAUCCUGGUCGGACAUCAGGAGGUUAGUGCAAUGGCAUAAGCCAGCUUGACUGCGAGCGUGACGGCGCGAGCAGGUGCGAAAGCAGGUCAUAGUGAUCCGGUGGUUCUGAAUGGAAGGGCCAUCGCUCAACGGAUAAAAGGUACUCCGGGGAUAACAGGCUGAUACCGCCCAAGAGUUCAUAUCGACGGCGGUGUUUGGCACCUCGAUGUCGGCUCAUCACAUCCUGGGGCUGAAGUAGGUCCCAAGGGUAUGGCUGUUCGCCAUUUAAAGUGGUACGCGAGCUGGGUUUAGAACGUCGUGAGACAGUUCGGUCCCUAUCUGCCGUGGGCGCUGGAGAACUGAGGGGGGCUGCUCCUAGUACGAGAGGACCGGAGUGGACGCAUCACUGGUGUUCGGGUUGUCAUGCCAAUGGCACUGCCCGGUAGCUAAAUGCGGAAGAGAUAAGUGCUGAAAGCAUCUAAGCACGAAACUUGCCCCGAGAUGAGUUCUCCCUGAGACUUAGAGU
rnacentral:rRNA from 1 species